AGAUCGUAAAUCAGCAAGAGACAUCUUCAAGGAAACCGCGAGUUGAUCGUCAGAAGGUUCACAUCCCAAUCUUUCCUUCAGACUGGCCUUCUGUUCUUCUAAAUAAAGACCAAAUUUGAUUUUCUUGGAUAGUUGCACCACUUCCUUAUGUGUAAGAAGUUCUUGGUUUACGACACCAUUCAUGUAACCUCUCAAACGGUUUUGUUGUAGCUCUGGACCAACAACAGAUCUCAGUCGCUUGCUUGCACUAUUUGCUUCAGCUGAAGCUUUUGGAAUUUGAACUCUUUUACGAGUAUCCAUUCUCCUCCGCCUAGCAGAAGUUCCUGAACA
rnacentral:misc_RNA from 1 species